UGAGUGCGAGCUUCUACGGAAGCGAAGUUGGUGACGUCAAGCUUCCAAGAAAAGCCCUAUACCCGUUAAGGCAUGAUUACCUGUACCCGAAACCGACACAGGUGGGGUGGUAGAGAAUACCGAGGGGCGCGAGGUAACUCUCUCUAAGGAACUCGGCAAAAUGACCCCGUAACUUCGGGAGAAGGGGUGCCGGCGCGAGCUGGUCGCAGUGAAUAGGCCCAGGCGACUGUUUACCAAAAACACAGGUCUCCGCUAAGUCGCAAGACGAUGUAUGGGGGCUGACGCCUGCCCAGUGCCGGAAGGUUAAAGAAGUUGGUCGGCGCAAGCGAAGCUAACGACUGAAGCCCCGGUGAACGGCGGCCGUAACAAUAACGGUCCUAAGGUAGCGAAAUUCCUUGUCGGGUAAGUUCCGACCCGCACGAAAGGCGUAACGAUCUGGGCACUGUCUCGGAGAGAGGCUCGGCGAAAUAGAAUUGUCUGUGAAGAUGCGGACUACGUGCACCCGGACAGAAAGACCCUAUGAAGCUUUACUGUAGCUUGGUAUUGUGCUCGGGCUCGCAAUGCGCAGGAUAGGUGGGAGGCUUUGAUCCAUUGCUUGUGGGUGAUGGUGAGCCACUGGUGAGAUACCACUCUUUGCGAGCUAGGGUUCUAACGGUUACCCGUCAUCCGGGAACCGGACAGUAUCUGGUGGGCAGUUUGACUGGGGCGGUCGCCUCCUAAAAGGUAACGGAGGCGCGCAAAGGUUUGCUCAGGCUGGUUGGAAAUCAGCCGACGAGUGUAAAAGCAGAAGCAAGCUUGACUGUGAGACCUACAAGUCGAACAGGGAGGAAACUCGGCUUUAGUGAUCCGACGGUUCUGAGUGGAAGGGCCGUCGCUCAACGGAUAAAAGUUACUCUAGGAUAACAGGCUGAUCUCCCCCAAGAGUUCACAUCGACGGGGAGGUUUGGCACCUCGAUGUCGGCUCAUCGCAACCUGGGGCUGAAGUCGGUCCCAAGGGUUGGGCUGUUCGCCCAUUAAAGCGGUACGCGAGCUGGGUUCAGAACGUCGUGAGACAGUUCGGUCCAUAUCCGGUGCAUGCGCAGGAAUAUUGAGAGGAUUUCUCCCUAGUACGAGAGGACCGGGAGGAACGCACCUCUGGUGUACCAGUUAUCGUGCCAACGGUAAACGCUGGGUAGCCAUGUGCGGAGUGGAUAACCGCUGAAAGCAUCUAAGUGGGAGGCCCACCUCAAGAUGAGUAUUCCCAUGGCUUAAGCCAGUAAGGUCACGGGAAGAACACCCGUUGAUAGGCUCUAUGUGGAAGCGCAGUAAUGCGUGAAGCAGAGGAGUACUAAUAGACCGAGGGCUUGACC
rnacentral:rRNA from 1 species